rnacentral:rRNA from 1 species
GCAUAUCAAUAAGCGGAGGAAAAGAAACUAACAAGGAUUCCCCUAGUAACGGCGAGUGAAGCGGGAAGAGCUCAAAUUUAAAAUCUGGCAGGCUACGCUUGUCCGAAUUGUAAUCUCGAGAAGUGUUUUCCGCGUUGGCCUGUGUACAAGUCCCUUGGAACAGGGCGUCAUAGAGGGUGAGAAUCCCGUCCUUGACACAGACACCCAAUGCUUUGUGAUACACUCUCAAUGAGUCGAGUUGUUUGGGAAUGCAGCUCAAAAUGGGUGGUAAAUUCCAUCUAAAGCUAAAUACUGGCGAGAGACCGAUAGCGAACAAGUACCGUGAGGGAAAGAUGAAAAGCACUUCGGAAAGAGAGUCAAACAGUACGUGAAAUUGUUGAAAGGGAAACGAUUGAAGUCAGUCGUGCCUGCCUAGUCUCAACCUUUUGGUGUACUACUAGGUCGGCAGGUCAGCAUCAGUUUGGGAGGAUUAACAAGGGAGCUAGGAAUGUGGCAACCUCGGUUGUGUUAUAGCCUAGUUUCGCAUUGAUCUUGCUGGACUGAGGAACGCAGUGCGCCCGCAAGGGUUGGUCUUCGGACACAUUCGCACUUAGGAUGCUGGCAUAAUGGCUUUAAACGACCCGUCUUGAAACACGGACC